UGCGAGUAUAACUGAUUUUAUCGGCAGAAAAAACCGUCCACUUGACUUUGAGUAAAUGUAUCAUUGUCUUUGUGUAUAAAACUGUAUCUAGACUAAAAGUUAUUCCUAAAAGUUCAGAAAUAUUAAAUUUGUUUAACCAAUUUUUGCCCAAAUUUGAGUUAAAAGAUUCGUUCAAAAAAGUUGAAAAUCUUUUUCUUUGACCCUCUGUGGGCCUUAAUCUAAAACUAAUCUGAUCUACAGUGGGCAUAUUGUAAAUAUUUGGUUUUUUUUU
rnacentral:lncRNA from 1 species